rnacentral:rRNA from 1 species
CAAUAGCGUAUAUUAAAGUUGUUGCAGUUAAAAAGCUCGUAGUUGGAUUUCUGGUCGGAGCGACCGGUCGGCGUCCUUUGUGGCGUGUGCACUGUUGUCGGCUCCGUCCAUCCUAGUGGGAAGGCGUGUUGGCAUUCAUUUGUCGGCGCGUGGCCCCGCUACGUUUACCGUGAAAAAAUUAGAGUGUUUAAAGCAGGCGUUCGCUGUGAAUACAUUAGCAUGGAAUAAUGAGAUAGGACUUUGGUACUAUUUUGUUGGUUUGCGCACCAAGGUAAUGAUUAAUAGGGAUAGUUGGGGGUAUUCAUAUUCAAUUGUCAGAGGUGAAAUUCUUGGAUUUAUGGAAGAUGAACUUAUGCGAAAGCAUUUACCAAGGAUGUUUNCAUUAA